rnacentral:rRNA from 1 species
GACGAACGCUGGCGGCGUGCUUAACACAUGCAAGUCGAACGGAAAGGCCCUGCUUUUGUGGGGUGCUCGAGUGGCGAACGGGUGAGUAACACGUGAGUAACCUGCCCUUGACUUUGGGAUAACUUCAGGAAACUGGGGCUAAUACCGGAUAGGAGCUCCUGCUGCAUGGUGGGGGUUGGAAAGUUUCGGCGGUUGGGGAUGGACUCGCGGCUUAUCAGCUUGUUGGUGGGGUAGUGGCUUACCAAGGCUUUGACGGGUAGCCGGCCUGAGAGGGUGACCGGCCACAUUGGGACUGAGAUACGGCCCAGACUCCUACGGGAGGCAGCAGUGGGGAAUACUGCACAAUGGGCUGAAGCCUGAUGCAGCAACGCCGCGUGCGGGAUGACGGCCUUCGGGUUGUAAACCGCUUUCGCCUGUGACGAAACGUGAGUGACGGUAAUGGGUAAAGAAGCACCGGCUAACUACGUG